CCCUGGAGCUAAGCAGGAUCGGGCCUGGUUAGUACUUGGAAGGGAGAUCACCUGGGAAUACCAGGUGCUGUGGGGA
ensembl:rRNA 5S_rRNA 5S ribosomal RNA